rnacentral:rRNA from 1 species
UUUUACAAUAUCGAUUUAAUCGGCUAAAAUUCUAGGUAGAUUUAUGAUGAUGACAUUAUCUAUCUAUGUGUCUUGACCAAAUUACGUGCCAGCUGUCGCGGUAAGACGUAGGAGACUAGUGUUAUUCAUCUUUAAUAGGUUUAAAGCGUACCUAGACGGUAAUUAAAGCCUACAUCAGGUACUUGUUUACUAGAGUUAAAUGUAAGGGUGUAUUAAAGUACUGUUGAGUGUAGAGAUGAAAUUCGUUGAUACCAAAUAAUUGGCACAGGUAUAGGCGAAAGCAUCACUUUAUGUAAUAACUGACGUUGACGGACGAAGGCUUUGUGUCGCGAACAGGAUUAGAUACCCCAGUAGUCUUAGCAGAAAAUUAUGAGUGUCAUAGGUUAGAUUAUAUCUGGUCUAUAAAUGAAAGUGUAAGCACUCCACCUCAAGAGUAAUUUGGCAACAUUGGAACUGAAAUCAUUAGACCGUUUCUGAAACCAGUAGUGAAGUAUGUUGUUUAAUUUGAUGAUCCGCAAAGAACCUUACCACAAUUUGAAUAUAAAUGAUUUAUUUUUACAAGCGUUGCACGGCUGUCUUCAGUUAAUGUCGUGAGAUAUUGGUUUAUUCCAUUAAAUUAACGUAAACCCGUACUUUAUUUUUAUAUAAAGUUUUUCAUUCGCUAUAAUGGAUGUGAUAACAGGGACUAAGACAAGUCAUCAUGGCCUAAAUAUUG